GUUGGUCAGGCUGGUCUCAAACUCCUGACCUCAAGUGAUCCACCUGCCGUGGCCUCUCAAAGUGCUGGGGUUACAGGCGUGAGCCACCACACCCGGCUUCACUGCUUACAUUUUAACUGGUAGGAAAUCUGAGUUUCUGUAGUCCACAAUGGAUUGGUGAACAAAGAUGAAUUUCAGAGUAUUUUUGUUAUAUAAUGAGCCUUUGAGUUGCAUGUGGGAGUCAAACAGAAGCUAAUAUUGAAAUAACCAGCUCAUUCCAUGCAUGGUGACUUUCUACACAUUUUCGGUCUUCUCAGUUGUGUGACUUCGUUUCAGUACCUUCUUCGUAAGGAGGCAGUUGAUGUAUCUUCCUUUUCCUCCGAGCCCUUUCAAAGGUACCAGCAGCCCCAGGAGCUCUGUGUCCAAUGCUACGGGAAAGGAAGUGCAAAUGGAGCUUGGCUGAGUCUUCGUUCUCUGCCCUGAGCACUCCCACUGGGUUUUUCCCCAGCCACCUGCUCUUCCUCUGUCCCUGGAAUGUGCUGAGACGCAGUCACCACUCUCCUGGUUCUUAUAACAAAUGCAUCAGGUGUGUGAAGAUAAGUCUCCUGCAGGUGGCUUGGUGAAGAGCACGUCAGAAGGAUGCGCGCUGAUUGGGACUCUCGCCUGGUUGACGCACAUCGUUGCCUGGUUGGAGAGUCUGAGGACAGGUUGGAGGGCCCCACCUGGGCCCUAAGCCUCCUUUUAUUCUAGGAUCUCAUGGAUUGUGCUUGGCCUUUCUGAGUGGGAGCUGGCAUAGGCAGGCCUGUUUCAAAUGAGAAAUAGCAGGGCCAGAGCAUGCUGAUUCUCUGGGGUUGAUUUAUGUUCUUUCUAGAAUUUUAGGAAGGCAGGAAUCAAGAAGACACUGAAGUGAUACGACCCCAGAAACAUCACCCAGCAAGCCCCUCUCCAGAAUUCCAGAGGCUCAGGUGGCUUCCCCUCACUUCAUGUAGCUAGGGUUCAGAGCCCUCAGGGAAGGAGGCUGGCUAGGAGGCAGAGCUCCUUUGCCAUGUGUUCUUUAAGCAAGCUCUCUGCGAGCCUCAGGCCUUGGGGUGCUUACCAUGCACUCUGCAUGAGAGGACAAGAGGGGCAGAAAAACUUAAUUUCAUGGUGCCUUUUAUGACUUCCAUGCUAUGUGAUGGUGGUUUUUCCAGCUCCUCUGUGGAAGGAAAAUUUGAGAGAUCCAAGUAGCGAGAUGAACACAGUGAGCACUGGGAGUUGAGGAAUCCUAAUCUGGCUGAGACUCUCCCUUUCUUCACGCAGCCUGUGUUCCCAGUUCUCAGAGUCUUGGUCUAUUUACAUUGUAUAUCCUCCUGUACUGGUGUACAUGCUUCUCGUGUAUCACUUGUUCUUCCGUCCUGGUCCUCCUGUUCUUCCUAAGUGGAGGAGAGGCAUCAGUAGCUGUGAGAAGAACCUCAAGGCUCCUGAAGUAUCCAUCAGACCACUCUGGAAGAGAUUCCCACUGCUGGCCAGGGAGGGCUACAGAUAUUUUAGCUCAAAGCAGGUGACGAUUUCUUAAGGUCCCAAGCCUCCUGACGGUCGAGUCAUUGUUGUAAAAUGAAGGCUACCUUGGCUGCUGUCUGCUGCCCUGUCUCUGGCCACCUGACUCCUAGUCCUGAGUACUGAGGACAUGAGCUCUGUUGUUUCUCUUCUCAGAUUCUGCCUAGUUACACAACUUGUAUGGUUUGAAAAGAGAAGACUCUGGGUGCCAACUUCACUGGGCUGAGGAGCUAGGGCAAAGGUCUUACGUGUAAUUUAAUAAUUCUGGUGUCAUGAGAAGAGCUGAUCUUCCUUUAAUUGUUCUGCCAAGCAUGCUUAUUAAUUCGCUUCCAUCAAUAAAAUUCUAAGGUAAAACCCA